rnacentral:rRNA from 1 species
UACAUGGGGUGCAAACGUUGCUCGGAAUUAUUGGGCGUAAAGCGCACGUAGGCGGUUCGUUAAGUCAGAUGUGAAAUCCCACGGCCUACCCGUGGAACUGUUCGGCAUACUGCGGAGCUAGAGGAUGGUAGAGGAGAGCGGAACUCUUGGUGGAGCGGUGAAAUGCGUAGAUAUCAAGAGGAACACCGGUGGCGAAGGCGGCUCUCUGGUCCAUUACUGACGCUGAGGUACGAAAGCUAGGGGAGCAAACGGG